UGCAUUUCUUGUUUUCAGCAUCUUUUCAGAAUGUAGCCAACAAUUGGAAGAAGGCCAGCUAUACUUCUGACAUAAACUCAGAACCUGAAAUUGCUGGAAAAAGGAUUCCCAAAAAGAAAACAAGUACAGAUCAUAAAUACUCAUCAGACGACGAGGCAGCAGAACAAGCACCCAUUAAAAAAAGAAAAGCUGCAAACAAAGCAAGUGUUCCACCUGCACCAAAACCUCCAGCCAUUCCAAAACUUAACAAAAAAGGUCCUAAUGUGCAACCUCAGGUUUCACAGAGCAGAGCAGUAAACGCUCUCAGCAACUCAUGUGUCAAUCAGCAACAAUGGGACACGGAAGACCAACAACAGACCGGGUGUGAGAGUCUCCCCAGCUUCCAAG